rnacentral:lncRNA from 1 species
UGAUCAAUGAAAAAUAUUUUUAUUGCAAUCUUCAUGUUUAAUUCUUAGUUUCUUGCAAUCUAUUAUUUUUUUUAUUUAUAUUUUUGAAAUACUCGACCUAAGAUCCCUAUAGAUACGAUCCUGACUCAUCCUAUCUAUAUAGUAGUGAGUAGGAUUAAUUUUAGUGUGCUACGACAUACAUCAUAUAUAUUAUAAUUUUUUUCUACGAUGAUUGAUAUGGAUACAAUCCAGUUAAGUCAAAUCGAAUAGAUAGAACAUCAAGUUCGACUCGGUUCAAAAUACUGAAACUUUAAAUUCAACUUGAAAUAGAUCAUCUUGAUAUC